CCUACGGGAUGCAGCAGUGAGGAAUAUUGGUCAAUGGGCGGAAGCCUGAACCAGCCAAGUAGCGUGAAGGAUGACAGCCCUACGGGUUGUAAACUUCUUUUAUAAGGGAAUAACGCGCUCCACUUGUGGCGUUCUGUAUGUACCUUGUGAAUAAGGGUCGGCUAAUUCCGUGCCAGCAGCCGCGGUAAUACGGAAGGCCCGAGCGUUAUCCGGAUUUAUUGGGGUUAAAGGGAGCGUAGGCGGGCGUUCAAGUCAGCUGUAAAAUCUUGCGGCUCAACCGAACCGCGCAGUUGAGACUGGACGCCUUGAGUACACGAGAGGCAGGCGGAAUUCGUGGUGUAGCGGUGAAAUGCAUAGAUAUCACGAAGAACCCCGAUUGCGAAGGCAGCCUACCGGGGUGCGACUGACGCUGAGGCUCGAAGGUGCGGGUAUCAAACAGGAUUAGAUACCCGGGUAGUC
rnacentral:rRNA from 1 species